GGAGCCGUGGAGGUCGAUUUUGCCACCGUCCUCACAGCGGGGUAAGUUGGCUCCGAUAGGUCGAAUUCAGCUACGCUAUUUGCGUAGCUGAAUUUGCGUAUCUUAAAUCAACACCCCCCCACCCACCACCACCCCCGUAGUGAAGACCUGCCCUUAUAGGGAAACUAAUUUGAGUGUUUACUGACUUGUUACCAUUCUUUAUAAACACCAGAGCUAAGAAGGGAAUCUAUUAAUUUCUCGCUCUUGUUCCAAAUCUUACCUUCUUGGAAUUUGUAAAGUCAGUCUUCCUUAGAGACAUCUGUGUUGAGUGGCCCCAGAAAAUUUCAGGCUUGGCUGAGUGACCUAAAACCUACUGAAGAUACCUGUUUUCUUCUAUAUAGCAGAUUGGACCACGGGGAAAGAACAUUGGUUUUGUCCUGUAUGCUUUAUUUUAAAAUUUAAUUUUCUACUGCAGGCAGUCUGGUAGUACUAGGUUACUUUGUAGCUUGCACACAUACUCCCACUUGUCAUUUCUUCUUGUUGACUUGUAACUAUGCAUUUCUAAACUUUAUAUAUGAUACAUGGGAAUACUUCAGAGCAACUGUGAAUAAAUAAAAGCUCUUAUGAGGCUAAUUUGCUGCUCUUGUGCUUAUAUCAAUUUUAAUCUGGAAAGCCAGUCUUGUAAACUCAAUAUAGCAUAUAAAAGUCAGCUAGAGUUCUUUCUGGCUCAUGCAGCAUCAAUAAUAACAAUGCUGCCCAUAUAUGUGAAAGCACAACUUGGUCUGGGCAGCUCCAUUGAACGUGAUUUUGCAUGGUUCUGAAGGUAAACUUUGUUCUUUAAUUGGAACUUGGUUAUGUAGUCUUGCUAAGGUAGGAGCUGAAAUAGAAUUACUCUGUUUUUUAGCUGCAUGGACUCUGUAUUUUGAAGAGUGGGGACUUCUAAAUCUCCCUUUUUUGUCACUAGAACGUUGACAGUCUCUGAAUACACAUGCGAAACUUCAGGAAGAAGAAAUUCCCUGUUGGUGUACCACUAAAAGGCUGUUUACAGAGGGAUAAAAUGAUGAAGGCAUUGGAUUUUAGUUUUUAUAAGCUUUUGCUAGUUCUUGAUCAAAGCUGUGCCAAUUAUUUUUUUAAGCUCUUUUCUGUAAUUGUGAUACUUUUCAGUAGUUAACAGGAGUUUUACGUGUAUAACAUGCUAUGUUAUAGAACUCACAAUGUACUGGGGCUUCUGCAGAAAACCCCCAAAACUGGUUCUGUCCUACAGCCUUAUGUAGACUAAUACACACACAAAACUUUGGAAACAUACGUGAUGCAAACCUACCAAAGCAAGGAAAUGAAAAGUUAAGUAGCUUAACAGUGCUUGCCUACCUUCUCCAACAACAACAAGGUACCUCCCCUGCUGACUGUGCACCAGAACCUUAACUCUGCCACAUCUCUGCAUCGAUCUUGGAAGAGCAUGCCAACCAUAUAUGGCAGUGGUGAAGAAGGCAUAGAGAUGUUUGUGAGCAGAGAGGGUGGAGGGGAAGGUGAAAGGAGACCAAGUCUGAUGUACAUAAGGACUCUGAUGUGGGGCCACCACUCCAUUUGGAAAUGGAAGUCAGUGAGGAAGGAUGGUUCCUAUAGUUGCUGAGAACUCCCAGAAAUGAGACUUUCCCUGUUUCCUCUGCCCCAUCUUCAUUCUACAUUUGUGGGACUAAGUGAAAGAAUAAGGAUCACUGCUUCUCCAUGACCUUGGCUCUGUUUAAUGAUGGAAAAUGUGGUUUUCCGUGGAAAAAGUUGAUUUUCCAGAAAUGUCAAUUUUGCCUACAACUAUCCAUUUUCCUAAUGGAAAAUUAAAACAUGUAGUUUCAGGGGGGUUCAGUGUUAAUUAAUAUCCGUCUAAACUGCUGCAGUGUGUCAUGGUGCAUCAUGGGAUAGUUAGUCUAGCAGGGGACCUUGGCUUGUAAAGAAGAAUGGGACCAUGAGCCAGGUGAACUACACACUCCUAGGAGACACCAGGGCAACUCAAGCAGGCACCAGUUAAUAUUGACUCUUAAUAAUCAGAUAUUGCCAAAUCAAAUUUUUUCUGAACUUUUUGAUCUGCUAAAAGUUUUGAUAGUUUGACUUUUUGUCCCAAUUGAGGAUGAAAACAUGAUGAAAUACUGGAAUUUCCCAUGGGACAGAAAUUAUGUUUUCCAAUCAGCUAUAACACCUAUUCCACCCUGUCCCUUGACAUGGAUAGAUGAAGAAAGUUGGAUCAGUGUGUGGAGAACCACCUGGUUCUUUUGAAAUGCUCUCAGAUACCAUGGUGAUGAGCUAUAGUAUAAGUAUUUAGAUGGACCUACUAAUAGACCAGCAAUAUGAUGACCCAGAGCACUUCUAGAGAAUAAUAUUGCCUUUGCCAGUGCUACUGGCAACAGCCAAUUCCACCUCAGGUCACAUAUUUUAGAAUCUGACCAUAUCAGCUGGGAGCUUGUGCACUUUACAUUGACUGACAAAUUACAACUGCUCUCUGGGGCAGCCCUUGUGUUAUUAAUGAGGAGUUGGGUUGGUAGAAAGGGAUAGUGUCAAUGUUAAAGUGCAGAAGCCCAGUCUCUCCAAGCUGUAGUAGCCUGGUAUGAGUUCUGCAGUGCACUCGCAGAGCUCAAUUUCAAGGAUUGGUAAGAAAUCUGGAGGCAGACUUACAUCAGAGCACCCAGCAUCAUUUAAAUCCAUAAUGUCUGAUUGAUUAGAGUGAGGUUCAGAGUAGGAGAUAGUUGAGACCUAGUACCAAGGUCCUUAGAAAAGGGCUCUUAACUGCUAAAGAAACAUUAUUGUGAACCUCAUGCUAGGAGACAGUUUCUCCUUACCUGGAGGAACAGAGGGGGACUUUCUAUUGCAGCUGGCUUUCUGAGCCACAUUCACUUUGCAGAAAUACCCCCAUCUGUGAAGACCUAGCUAAUUGGGAACAGUGAGGGAGGGCACAUUCACACUGUUCUCUGUGAGAAGUAGAGUGGGGUUGGUGGGAUCUGGAUCCAUUCCAGGGCACCUAGAUUUGUGCCUCAGUUUAGUUGAUUGCUUGUGUUUAUCCAGUAUUAAGUUGCAGAUUGAUCUUCAUUUAGAGAAAGAUCUGGGAGUUAUGACUUAUUUCCUGUUUUGUUUUACAACAGACUUUCUGCAGUUGAGAAAACUGGUUGGCUCCUUUUGGUUUUACUUUGUGAAGCCCACAUCAUUCUGAACUUCCUCUGCUUCCCAGAACUGCAGAGAGAUCUGAUGGUUUAAAAACACACAAUUAAUUCCUCAGCUGUAGUUUAGUCAAACCAUUUAAUCUCAUUGUGGUGAAAACGGGCUGGGAGUUCUGGGCUCUCUUGCUAAAUCUAAGAUUUAUUCUGGGGGCCAGGGCAAAUCACCUCCCCUCUCUGUGCCUCAGUUUCCUUGGGAGUAGAGAUCAGCUGCCUAUCCACACACACAGACUGGUUAAGGUUAGUUAACUGGAUUUUGUAAAAUCUUGAAUGAAAGCCACUGUGUAACUGCCAAGUAUGUAUUUCUUAUUAAAUUAUGGAAUUUGUCUAGGGUGUGCAGGUUUUUUUUCCACUCACUCACCAUCAGGCUUCUGAAAUCCAUCAACCCCUCUGAAGGGGCUUAUUACCCCUUGCUCUUAAUGUUUAUAAACUAGCCACAAAACUUCAGUAUUGAUUUACAGCCUUACUGCUGCAGCUGCUGAGGGGUCUGAGAGGAGCGAAGUGGUGGCAGAAUAAGCUUAGUGAGAGUGGGAAAGACGGAGCCAGACAGGAGCCUAGGAAGCAUGGUCUAUUUUUAGGACAAGGCUGGCAUAUCACAUAUUUAUCAAAGUCACAGUUCCAGAUGCCUCACAUGAGCAAAGGGUGCUGAAGGGCUGAGUUAAUUUUAACUCCUCCAGCUGACAACUAACAUGGACUGUGCGCAGGAACCAGAAGGGCUGAGACUUCGGGCAGAACCAGUUACCGACACCAUUCUUGAGAUUGGACAGAGACUUUUCCAGGUCAAUCGUGGUGCAUUAUCUCUCCACAGUCGCUAUUUUGAGGCCAUGUUUUUUGGGGGCACUAGAGAGAGCUCCGAACACCACAUAGUGAUCAGAGGAGUAGAUGCAGAGACUUUCCAAGCGCUUCUCGAGUUCACUCGCACAGCCAAGGUGCUCAUAACUCUGCACAAUGUCACCCGCCUGCUGGAAACAGCCGACUUCCUCCAGUUUGAGAGAGUGAAAAGGAUGUGUGAGAAGUUCCUGGAGAGGGAGCUGCACGUUUCCAACUGUCUGAGCCUGAUGGCCUAUGCCCAAUGCUUUGCCUGUCCAGAGCUUCAUGCAUCAGCUCUCAGCGUGGCUCUCACGCACUGGACGGAAGUGACUUCUCAGGAAGAAUUUAAGAAGCUUCCCAAAGAAAUGUUGCUGCAGCUCCUGCAAAACAAUGACCUCUUUGUUCCCCAAGAGGAUGUCGUUUUUGAUACUGUGAUGAAAUGGAUAAUGCAGGACCCAGCAUCUAGGGAGGAGGCCUUCUUGGACUUGGUGGGGCAGGUCAGGGUAACCUUCCUGAGUCUUUCCUUCCUUGAUAUCUUGGUGAAACAAAGCAAAAACCCUGGAGAGAAGGAUACCUCUGCCAGGCUGCUAAAGAAGUUAGACAGCUGCCCUCCACUCAGAUGGAGGAACAUGGAGCUGUCUCCUUGCACCAGCAGGAGCUAUGAGACCCUAUAUAUUCUGGGAGGGAAGCAUGAUAAGGAGCAGCAAGAAUUAUUUCAGUUUCAACCUAAAUCUGGCACCUGGCAUCUUUGCUCCCCGCUGCAGCGCAGGAACCUCAUCCAGUAUGCAGUGGCAGCAGUAGGGAACUUCCUUUUUGUGACGGGAGGUUAUUUCCGAGAUGAGUUUGUGUGGUACAGCGUGGACUGGGUGUUGAUCUAUAAUUGCUGGGACAACAACUGGCUGGAAGGGCCUGCUAUGAAGCAGUCUCGCAACAGCCAUUGUGCCGUAGGGGCUGGGCUCUAUCUGUAUGUGCUUGGAGGGAGCACAGAUGAGGGCAUAAUCCCAGAUGUGGAGCGCCUGGCAUUAAUGGACUCGCAAUGGCAAAGCAUGAGCCCCAUGGUUCAGCCUGUGGAGAGAGCAGGUGCAGUCAGUGUGGGGACCAGGCUUUACGUGGUCUGUGGCCUGGAUGAAAAGGGAGAUGUGUAUGGUGGAGUGCAGAGACUGGACAUGGAGAAGGAUGUUUGGGAUGUCAUCUCCUUCUCACCACUUCCCAGUGACACCAGAGGCUGCACUCAGAUCAAGCCUCAAUGUGCAGGGUACAGCUCAAACCUAUAGUAAGAGGCAACCUCUGCCCUAAAGAGCGUACACUUAAUUUAACUCCAGAUGCACCAAGUAUGACCUCUGUGUUACAGCUCUGAAUGGAGCACUCUACACCAUAGGAGGAGGAGCCUUUCGCUUUGAUAUGGACACAGAUGAAUGGACCCAAGUGGAUGAAGAGUGCCUGACUCAGAAAUUCUUCAUGGGAUGCAGCACUGCGAAUGGCCGAAUUUAUCUCCUGGGACAGAGGAAGGGGAACAUGGCUGUCCCCAACAUGGUGCUCUUUGACCCUUACACUGACACAUGUCAGGUGGUAGAUAGCAAACUCCCUUGCCCCGUUCCUAUUUAUGGGUGUGUCUCUAUACGAAGAUUUGACACAUGAACUUAAGCAAGGCUGGACCCAGGUCACCAUACAGAAAGGGAGUCCAGUGUGUUAACACUUACAAGGGCUGAUAUUUAUUGUCUGUAGAACUUGUAGAAUCUUGAAAACAUCAUUUAUUCCUCUCCUGAUUUUGUCUUUUUCAGUUUGGCAAAUGCUGGUGACCUUUGUCCUCAAGGAGCCUACAGGCAAUGGAAGAUUUGCUCCUUUCUUUAUCAAGACAUCUCCACUGGUGUCAGCAUGAUUCCAUGAAAACAUUGUUAGCAAACUCGCUAACUUGGCCUCCGCAGUAGCAGCAGAAGGAAUAACAGCAUUGCAGGGUCAGUCAGAAACAUGGCUGUUGGUUUUUUGUUUGUUAUUUUGAUUUUACCAAAUGACAGGACAGCAGCUUCUCAAAUGCUGAAGAGCACUCCAGGCAGCAGCAGGUGGAAGGCAUCUGUCCAAAGAAAACCAAAUUUCAGUCAUUGAAAAUUGAUUCUUUUAUUUUCAGCCCAUAGGGAUGACAGUACCUAAAAUGCAAACAGAGCCAUGACUAUAAAGACCUGAGCUACUUCAUGCUUCACUCCUCUGGGUUCCUAAGGAGCCUGGGCAGGGCCCUGAUUAUAUUGGAAGGAAAAGAGCAAGCAUAUGGUAGGAUUUAAACUGAUUCUUUAUUCAAGCCAGUGCCCUCAUCACCUCUGUGCUGACUCAGCUCCAUGUGUAAAGUGUCACUCAGGUUUUAGGUAGCACCUAGGGAACCCUGUUCAGAGCUGCUGUUGAUGGCUAUGGAGAUAGUUCUACAAAUGACAAGAGGCCAUCGGCUAGCAAAUAGGAGUUGAGCCACAUUCACUUUGCAUUGUUCUAAUCUUAUGGUGCUCAGACAGGGGAUGAAAUCCUGGCCAUUGAUGUCAAUGAAAUUUUGCAGUUAGCUACAAUGAGGCCAAGAUUUCACCCAGGAUGGGUACAUCGUCCCUCCCCGCUGCAACAUUUCUGUUUAUUAUUGUGCAUGAGGCUGCUUGCUUCACAGCUGGGUGACAUUUUCUGACUGAAACUGUUUCUCUGCAAAAAAUGAUUUGGUGUCACGGAAAUGUUUCAAUAAUUUGUGAGACAAGGUGGGUGAGGUAAUAUCAACAAUUUGUGUUAGUUUCACCGAAGUUUUCAUUUUGAAAACAAAGCUAACAAACUCCAAACAAGUCAAAACAUUUUCUUUUGACAUUUUCAAAACAAAAUAUUUAAAUUUUUUAAUUAAAAAUAACUUUUUGUUACAAAAUUUCCUUCAAUUGUAUUUUUAAAAAAGUUUUAUAAAAAUGCUCUAAAUCAAAGUGAAAUGUUUUGUCUGAGGCCAAAUGAUUUUUUUAACCUCUCAAUUUGCCAAAAGUAUCAAAAAAUUGUUUUGGGGUCAAUUCAACAUGAUUUUAAAAAAUUGGAACUACCACCAAACCAAAAAAUCAGUUAUUUGCCCAGCUCUGUCCGCAACAUGUAUAACGAGAGAAAUAAGACUUAAUUCCUAGUCAUGUUUGAAAAUUUACCUGCACUUUGCUUGUGCACCAGCUGCUCCCUAAGAGAGACACUCCAAAGAUGGUAGUGUCAGAGCUUACAAAUGAUAUAAUUUAUAAUGUUAAACAUUAUGAUCUAGAGCUAUGAUGGAUAGAAAAUUAAUUAGCCAUAGAGCAACGCAUGUGACUGUGAAUGCAAGCAGACUUCAGAUUGGCUGGGUAAAGAACAAAACCUUCCUUUCUGUAUUUUGAAUUGUGCUGUAUUAAUCUUUGGCUAGUAAUCUUUGAUUAAAUAAAUUCUGAUUGAGAUGGU